rnacentral:lncRNA from 1 species
AUCUGUGUUACCUGUACGGUCUAGGUUGUUCUCUAGAAGAGAGGAGUGAACUAGAGUCCAUAUCUGUGUUACCUGUACGGUCUAGGUUGUUCUCUAGAAGAGAGGAGUGAACUAGAGUCCAUAUCUGUGUUACCUGUACGGUCUAGGUUGUUCUCUAGAAGAGAGGAGUGAACUAGAGUCCAUAUCUGUGUUACCUGUACGGUCUAGGUUGUUCUCUAGAAGAGAGGAGUGAACUACAGUCCAUAUCUGUGUUACCUGUACGGUCUAGGUUGUUCUCUAGAAGUGGUGCAGCUCUGAGUGACUUUCACAGCAACACUGAGACAUGUCCUUAAAGGAAACACAAAGCAUUCUCCAAGGGUUUUGGUGAAUGUGUUUGUCUGUGCAGUGUGUGUGUGUGUGUGUGUGUGUGUGUGUGUGUGUGUGUGUGU